ensembl:lncRNA
UGGAACAAAACUCUGCAGGGCUCCGGCCCUCCAGGAAUUGAGUAUGACACCCCUGAUCCCUGAUGCAUUUGUUUCUUACAAACAUGGAGCUUUUCACUUCAAAAGACAUUAACUGAUGGACUGGAGUGGUGUGGAUUACUUGUGAUGAUUUUAUCCAGCUGUUUGGACUUUCAUUCUGACGGCACCCAUUCACUGCUAAGGAUCCAUUGGUAAUCAAGUGAUGCAAUUCUAAUUUUCUCCAAAUCUGUUCCCAUGAAGAUAAAACCUCAUCUACAUCUUGGAUGGCCUGAGGCCAGGAAUCACCAUCACAAUGACCUUUCUCCACAACGGAGGCAUAAAGCAUAGUCCGGACCAAACACAUCAAGCAGGAAUGAGUUGUAGUAGCAGUGCACAUGUGUUAAAUGUGUGUGUGUCAGCUGGACUGGUCCCAGCUGCACCGGGUCAUGGCACCAACUCGUAUAAGACUCAAACUCCUCCAGGCGAUUUGUCCCAGCCUGUUGCCAUAUGCAUCCUCCUCAUUCCCUGGGGUCCGUCCCACAUGGUGCCGUCGUGGCAUGCGGACGCAGAGGUUGUAGAGGACAUGCUGGCUUCUCUGGUCACGCUGAUAUUUGUGUCGCCUGCUGACAGUUGGCCUCACACACACACGCACAGUGUCAUUGUCUCGGGCCGGAGAUGCAGACUGACACUGCUUCACUACGCAUCUGGCAUCAAGGUGGGUGAGAGAGAAUUCAAAGCACCUUCAACAGUCCACACAGUCUGUCCUUCCAGGUUAAAUGUGGGAGACACUGACUGUGUUCAGAAUGAAUACUAGCAUACUGCUUACUACAUACUGCACUGAUAUGGCCUAUUUUUAAAGAAAAUGACAAAUGUUUUAAACAGUGUCUUACAGUACAUUGUUGCAGCUUGCAUUAAAUUAUAAAAUAAUCUGUAUGGCAAAAGGAGAUGUUAUUUAUAAAAGGAGGAUUUCUGUUUACACUGUUAAAAAUUAUCUUUUGAAUAUAUAAUUAAAACAAAGAUUAUUGAAGUAUGUUUUACAAGAAAAUAGUAUUUAAGUCUUUUGCAUCAAAACUUUUGUCUAAUUCAAUGCAUUAUUUUGUUUCUUUGUGAAAUUUACUGGCAAUUUCUGAGUCAAAAUAUAAAAAAUAUUAAAAUAAUUAAAUCCCAC